GGCUCUCGCCCGCUUCUCCCCUGGAGGCCUGCUCCCGGGGGGCCCCCGGCCUGCAGACCCUUCUGUAUGGGGGUGCGCCCAGGGCUGCCAUCCGCCCCCCUCCGAUCUGCACAGCUACACCCUUGAAGGGAGCUUCAAAGCGUGUCUGCCGAUAGAUCAAGCCUUCUCUCAGCCAUGACAGCCCCCCAUCGCUCGCCUCCCCAAAUAAACCCGCGUAAUGAAGACAGAUGGCCCCGGUCAGCCGCCGGCCCCAGGCAAGGCCUGCAGAUGGUGCUGUGGGCGGCCGGAGGCCACACACCCCACCCCGGAGCGGUGCUCUGAGGUGUCACCGGGAUGGAGACUGGCCUCGGCCUGCACUCCCCCCAUCGCCCUGGGGGCAACACCUCUCCACGAUGAGCCUGGUUUUACCUUUGCACACUGCCUUUGAAAAUAGCCACCUUGACGCCCGUGGGCCUGGCCCUCCGUAACGACACAGACCUCUGACUGUGCUCCAGAUACCAGCCCAGGAGGAAGGGCCGGGUGCCCAGAGACAGUGAGGGGCUUGCCCCGCGCCACCCAGGACGCCCGUGCUGGCUGGCCCUCCCUCCACCUACGUGCUCGCUAACCGCCAACGUGCAAGUGCCGGGUCAGACUCAAGGCCGCGGUCAUCCGUGUCUUCACGGGACACCUCCAGGCCCUCCCUCCUGCAGCACGCGGACAGUAGGCUCGCACUUCCACCCCCUCGCGCCGGGAUGGGUCCCAGGACUACUUCCGCCACUAUAUUGUGAGCAAAAGUGCCAUGUGUCACUCGUCUCAAUGGAACAUCUCGUUACAGGUAUGACGCCCCAGGCUCCCACCUCCCUCGGGCACGGGGGCUGGCGUCCGGGUGGUGGCUGCUCUGUCCGCCUGGGGCGCCCCGGGGCCGCAGCGGGGGGCCCUGUCCUGCCUUGGCGCAUGGAGAAGGGGAGGGGGCCGUCGGCCCGCUUUGCAGUGAGUCACUGUGACCCGCUGUGACUGAGGGUCACUUGUCACAAAGAGUAGGGGGUUCGUGGGUGCGCAGUCAGAAAACCAAGGAGGGACACAGGGCACGUCACAUCAGCUUGGAAAAUUGGGGGUUGCUGUCUCAACGCGCGGUCUUUUCUCAUCACCUGGGCGGCGGGCCCAGCCCUUCCUGGGGAGGUCGGGGCAGGGAGAGGAGUGCCAGCAGGCGGCCGUGUGACCCCGUCAGGACAGAGUGGUGCCUCGGCCGGGGAGCGAUGGUGGUGAACACGCUCAAACGCUGCGGUCCGUUCAGGAGCAAGGCGGGUGUCUCCUCGCAAAAGACGGGGCCCUCUGAGCACCAGGGAAUCAGGAGGCCGAUCGUGUGACUUCCCAGGAAGCUUAGCUCCAAGGGAAUCUGGCUCUUGGGCAAUGUCACCGUUCCUGGCCUCACAUCUUAAUAAGAACCAACUUUCUGGAGGUAUUAACCCAAGAACAAACAUCGACCACGUUCACGAAAACCCCAGCGUGUGCCAAGUGCUGUCCGUCAAAACUCACUGACCCCCGAGGGAAGAGCCGGCUGCCUCCAUGACCUCGUGUCCCCGAGGGGGCUCUGCCUUUUCACCAGCGGCGUGCCCGCAGGCCAGGGGCUGGCGCCCAUCUGCCCGGGUUUCCUCGUCUGUAAGGUGGACGUGGUCACGGGGCCGCCAUCGCUCAGGGGCCGUCCUGAAAACGACACGGGGGGGGGGGGGAAUGCACACAAAACUCGGGCUCAGGAGUCCCCACCGGGCAGGAGGUGGGUCGAGCUGUGUCUCAGAGGGACCCCUAGACACGGGAGUCGCUUCUCUAGGCCACAGAGGCCAACUCUGCUCCCCUAAAGGCACGGUGGGCCAGGGUCUCCUUGCCAGGGCGUUGUCCUCAUCCCCCGGCCCAGAGCAGCCCCCCAGCCACCAUGCACCCCCCCGCCCCCCCGGAAGGGCUGCAGGCUCCGGGCCCACCCAGAGCCACAUCCUCGGACCCGCUGGCCCGCGCUCCGUCACACGGCCACACCCGGCUGCAAGCAGGCGGGGCAAACAGCAUUUAUUUGGGGUGGCCCCUGCCCUUGCUUAGGAUUGGGGUGUGACGACACGGAGGAAGGGCAGGCAGGUGUGGGGACGUACGAGCCGUCCCAGCCACGCCCCGCCAGGCAAGCACCGUUCUCUUCAUUUCACAGAUGGCACCACUGAGCCGCCUCCGAGGCCUUGGGCGGACGGGGACAUUGUCUUCUCCCACCAGCGCACGGGGUCUCACCCGACAGGC